AAGGGCACUCGGUGAAUGCCAA
rnacentral:miRNA from 1 species